CUACUUGUCAUAAAUUGAUGCUAAUCUUCCCAUAGUACAGAGGAAGACAAGUAAAUUUUAUAUUACUAUUUGAAGAACAGAGUUUCUAAUCAUUUUCCUGCUGCAUGGAAACAUUUGCUACUGUUGGACAUAUUACCUCUAAUAGCAGACCCUAUUCUACUGCCUCAGCUCCACUGGAGUCUCACUGAGCCUACUCUGGCUUUGGAGGUGCCAAGUCACCAAGAGAGAUUCUCAGAGGCCCAUUGCAUCUAUUUCUCUCUUGCAUCAACUGGGCAUCAUGCUUAGCUAGGUCUGAGUUCUUAUCUCACAACCAGGAAGACUUAGGUGCACAGACCCUGGAGAGUGAGUGGAGUAAAAAUUAUUCAGCAAGAUGGAAGCUCUCAGCAAAGAGGGAGUGUGGGGUGUGGUUCCCCUACCCAAAGGUGAGAAAGUCUCCUGCGUGGCUGGGUCCAGGGCCUUUUACGUACUCAGAAUAGGGAGUUGCUGAUUGGUUUGUGAGUAUUCAAAAAAAGGUUAAAGCAAAGAUACCACUUAAAGGUGGGCACAACAGUAUAGAACACCAAUUAGGAAAGGGUAGGUAUACUUUAAAUAAAUGAAGGAUGGGUAUCAAUCAGAGGAAACCACACCAAACAGUAAGAGAAGUUCUCAAUUCAGUCUGAGGGUUUAAGUUUUAGCUUGGCUUUCAGGCUUUAAACUGUCUUCAGCUUGGAGGUGGGGUUUCACUAGGGAUCCUUCCCUAUCUGCUUGGGCAUUUGGCUUCCUCCUGCCGCUCUCACUUUGACAUAUUUGAGAGACUUCCAAA
rnacentral:lncRNA from 1 species